rnacentral:snRNA from 1 species
AGCUUUGCUCAGUGGCAGUAUUGUAGCCAAUGAGGUUUAUCCGAGGUGCAAUUAUUGUUAAUUGAAAACUUUUCCCAAUACCCCGCCAUGACGACUUGAAAUAAGAAUUCUUA